rnacentral:lncRNA from 12 species
AUGCAUAACGCUGUCCAAGUAGACAAUUUUACCAAUUGCUAUGGAUUUAGAGGAGCAUGCAGCAUUUACUUGAUAAGCUAAUGUGUCGUUGUGUUUCAUCGCACAUCCGAGUACUAUCUCCAUCAGUUUCUGAUGACUAGCCUAUACGCAUGAACAUAUAUGUUUUGGAGUAUUUUGGAUUAUUUAAUUAGGUUUUGUGUGUGUGUGUGUGUGUGUGUGUUCUCUCUUUCUAUUCGGUUUCCUGUUUGAAUACAGUCAAGAGAUGUGUCAUACAGGCGUUGUUUAUCCUGUGUGAAACUUACAGUCAUUGUUCUUUGCAUGAGUUAAAAGUCGCUGAAUUUGCAGUUUGAAGGUGUAAAGCGUAGGCUACUUGUGAAAACCCUUACAGGACUUUAAUACAGCAAAUCACAGGUAAAAAAAAAAAAAGUACGGGACCUUAAUAGUCGCACACAAACUGAGGAUUUUAACAAAAACUAUGUAAUUGAUUCGUGAUUAAGUUCCAGCAAUCAUAAUGACUUCUCAAUAGAAGUAGCCUACAUAAUUGCACUUUUAACUUCUGAUGUCUGAAACUUGUGCCUACCAGAAUGUUUAAGAAUUAUAAAAAUAAAAUAAAAAAAAUAGUAGAACUAUAAUAGCAUACGAUACAGUCAUAGGUCUACAUUACAAUAAAAAAAUGUUGUCGUAGGGAUUCCUGACUGAACGCAUAAGAAUACAAUCGAUCGUUUGGAAAUGCAACUGUCAAUCAAGAAGUCACGCCUCCUAUUCGCCUGUUCACUGCGACUUCAGACAAAGAAAUCAUUCGCACUGGUGACGAGUGACAUUCAGAUUGUUACGAUGUUUCUUUUAUGUCGGUUUGUAUUUUGUUUCAUUUUGUCACUCAUUUUUGCUCUCAGACUUGUCAAGGGAAACUCAGGAUAUGGUAUGUAGCAACUCUGAAAUAGCACGUCACAAAAAGGCCUUGUUAAGACUCUUUUGAGAAAUAAUUUUGGUAAACAUUAAGAUUUGUGUACGCUUUUUACAGCUGUUCAGUGGUGCUUUGGAUUCAGCAACUGUAGCUCAUUGGACUUACUCCAUUGUCAGGAAACGGAGCUUCCACUGUGUUCCAAGCUGUGUUUCAGUGAAGGAUGCUUCUCCUCUGAGAAUGUCCCUUCUGGGAAUGAGACGAGCUGGCUGGCAGUGCACAGCAGCAGAGGGCCUUCUGUUCAUGAUGCCACUGUAGCUGCUUUGACUGACAGGGUGCAGAUUGGGAAGCCCCUCCUCCUGGAAGUUUCAGGCAUACUAAAUCUGAGCAAAGAAAACGUUUCUAUGGUUUUCAUUACAUUUAGUGGGAACUCUGGUCCUCAGGGUCUGCAUAAUAUAUCUGUUAUGGCCAACGGAUACCUCACCUGCUACAUAGAUGCGAUAUUACAAGCUGCUGGAUUGUACUAUUUAAGUAUGUUUAGCUGCAAAACAACAAAUAUACAGGAAGAAUAACACAGCUUUUGUGACCACCAUAUGUCU